UGCAAGUCGAACGGCAGCACGGGGUAACCUGGUGGCGAGUGGCGAACGGGUGAGUAAUAUAUCGGAACGUGUCCGGAAGUGGGGGAUAACGUAGCGAAAGUUACGCUAAUACCGCAUAUGCCCUGAGGGGGAAAGGGGGGGAUCGCAAGACCUCUCGCUUUCGGAGUGGCCGAUAUCGGAUUAGCUAGUUGGUGGGGUAAAGGCCCACCAAGGCGACGACCCGUAGCUGGUCUGAGAGGACGACCAGCCACACUGGAACUGAGACACGGUCCAGACUCCUACGGGAGGCAGCAGUGGGGAAUUUUGGACAAUGGGCGAAAGCCUGAUCCAGCCAUACCGCGUGAGUGAAGAAGGCCUUCGGGUUGUAAAGCUCUUUCAGCCGGAAAGAAAUCUUGCCCCUUAAUACUGGGUAAGGAUGACGGUACCGGAAGAAGAAGCACCGGCUAACUACGUGCCAGCAGCCGCGGUAAUACGUAGGGUGCGAGCGUUAAUCGGAAUUACUGGGCGUAAAGCGUGCGCAGGCGGUUUUGUAAGACAGACGUGAAAUCCCCGGGCUUAACCUGGGAACUGCGUUUGUGACUGCAAGACUAGAGUGUAGCAGAGGGGGGUAGAAUUCCACGUGUAGCAGUGAAAUGCGUAGAGAUGUGGAGGAAUACCGAUGGCGAAGGCAGCCCCCUGGGCUAACACUGGCGCUCAUGCACGAAGGCGUGGGGAGCAAACAGGAUUAGAUACCCUGGUAGUCCA
rnacentral:rRNA from 1 species